CAAGGAAUUUUCCCCAAUGGGCGCAAGCCUGAGGGAGCAACGCCGCGUGCAGGACGACGGCCUUCGGGUUGUAAACUGCUUUUGCGUGGGACGAUAACGACGGUACCACGCGAAUCAGCCCCGGCUAACUCUGUGCCAGCAGCCGCGGUAAUACGGAGGGUGCGAGCGUUGUCCGGAUUUAUUGGGUUUAAAGGGUGCGUAGGCGGUUAUUUAAGUCAGUGGUGAAAACCCUGAGCUCAACUGAGGGCUUGCCAUUGAUACUGGGUAACUUGAUUACCGUAUAGGUAGGCGGAAUUUAUGGUGUAGCGGUGAAAUGCAUAGAUACCAUAAAGAACACCGAUAGCGAAGGCAGCUUACUGGAUGGCGAAUGACGCUGAUGCACGAAAGCGUGGGUAGCGAACGGGAUUAGAUACCCCUGUAGUCC
rnacentral:rRNA from 1 species